GAAUCAAGACAGAUGCUGCAUAUCUUGAGCAUAUGAAACGUAUCCUGCAUAUUCAACGCUGAAGAUAAAGAUCAGAUCCUCACACUAUUGUGUGUUGUUCAAGAAAUUUGGCCCGUGGUGUGCCACUUCCCUAGCAAGACAGAAGCAGGACUUCUCUUCAUGCAAGAUUCCCAGGUGAAGCCUGAAAUAACUGGAUUAUAGCUGCUGCUGUCUGAUAUUCAUGUGAAUCUGAAACUUCAUCUCAUUCACACCAUAACCCUGUAUUUUACAAUCAGCAGGUCAAAUCCAUGGCUGGCACAACCCCACCGAACUCACUCAAGCUGAACUGCUUUAUUGAGUUGCCUUGUGAGCCUAGAUGUUGUAAGUGGAUGUGUUGUAGUCCUUGGAGUGGAAAUAUCAAUACCUUUCAAUACAGCACACCUUUAAAUAUAGCCCCAAACUCCUUUAAUUUCUCUGGAGGCAUUAUGUUAGUUUCAUUAAUAAGUGGGGAGGGUCUUUUCUCCAAUAUGCUUAGCCUGUGUUGGUAGAGAGGCUGUAUUGGAGUUUAUUUCAAGUGUAAAAUUGGAAGCAUCUCUAUGACAUAACCACUUUAAGAGGUUAUGUGAAACUGGAACUGUACUUCUGGGAAUGAGAUCACGUCGUAGGCACUGACCAGUGUGGUUAUUUCAUUGCUUAAAAAAACUUUGGAAGAAAUCACUUCUGAGAAUUACUUUGUUAUUUCAAAUGUGAGUCUGUGCUGCAUAUCCCACCCACCUUCAAAUUCUAGGCUGACCUUCAGCUACUUAGACUCUCCUCCUCUCCCACUCAGUCAAUAUCAGUUUUAGUUCACAUUUCUCUCUGAUUUUCCAGGUCCCAAAUGAAAACUGUUUUCCCAUGGAUGACACGUGUGUGCUCAGCAGUCUUCCAUCAAGGUCUCUCCUUUCUGGGUCUCAAUUUAAAUUAAUGUUUAGCUGUCAUCACCAUCUCCUACUUCUGCCUGUUUUAGCCCUGCACAUACCAGUGUAUAAGGCUCAAGUGCUUAUCCACAGCUGUUGAUGUUGUUUAAUUAUUAGGCUGUUUCUGCCACACUCUUGCAGAUAGGGAUAUAGGUAACAGCACAGAGAUGGUUCCCAGUGGGCAGCAAAAGUCAAAUGAUAGUUUCAAGGAGGAUGAAGUUUACCAUCUCUAUACAAGCUUCCAUGUGCCACUUGCUCUCUCUUGUUUGAUACAUUAACAAAGAUAUGGCAGAGUUGUAAAUUCUGAUUUUCCUGUUCUGACUGAGAAAUGAUUAACUGUACUGGGACUACCCAGAAGUAACCACUCUAUAAGCUGAGAUGAGACUCAGGAUCUCAUUUCAGUCACAGGCUUCACAUGCUGUGAUAAAGGACUGUCUUUUCUCUUGCUUUUAGUGCAAUGAUAAUCAAAUGAGUACCAAUAUAAUACAUGAUAACAAAUAAUCCUGGUUUUAAGUCCUAAAUAAAAUUACAUUUCACCUGUGGAAGAAAGAUUA